rnacentral:ncRNA from 2 species
AGCAGAGUAGAAUCUUGUGCGUUAAGUGCUGAGUGAACAGGGAGUUGUCACCCGGACGAAAGGCGAAUGCCUGCGGUACAAAGUUCGCAUCCCGCUGCU